GGCCGCGCACGUCCGUAGCGCCAUACAUCAUUGUAACCGUACGAUGAGUUCUGCGUUGUUGGGCAUCUGGAAGGCCACCUUGGAGGACGCUUACCCGAAGAUCGGAGACUGAAUGUCCUUGAUCGCUGAAUUGUUCCCUGACUAUGAGAGAUGCCUGGCUUUUUUUGGAAUGAAAAUUAACUUGGAGUAGCGGUGACAUCAGCUGAGGGCCAAAGCAAAGCAAGCUAGAGGCCCGAGUGAAAUGGGGACAGCCAGUGUGCCCAGAGCAGAAUGGGGACAUUUGUUGGACGGAUGUGAGUGGUCAGCAGCUUGUAAGUCCAGUCAGACCACACGUGGAAGUCCCCUGCAUUAAUCUACUGAAGGCCCUUUAUGGAAAGAUUGCAUUGUUUAUCUUAUUAACUUUAUUUUAUAUAACUUAUACCAAGAAUAACUGUAAGGUAAUGUUACAUUUUUUUUCUUUAUUUCUCUGUUUUGUAUCUAAGAUUUGUACUGAGGUACUUUGUGCCUAAGAUGGUACAACAUGGAGCAACAAUGUAAACUUUUCACCGUACUCCUGUACUUCUGUACUUGAGUAGAUGUGACAAUA